rnacentral:rRNA from 1 species
GGAUCCAGACUUUGAUUAUGGCUCAGGAUGAACGCUAGCGGCAGGCUUAACACAUGCAAGUCGAGGGGCAGCGCGGGAUAGCAAUAUUCUGGCGGCGACCGGCGGAAGGGUGCGUAACGCGUGAGCGACAUGCCCGUUGCCCGGGGACAACCGGUGGAAACGCCGACUAAUCCCCGAUGGGAUACGAUGCUGCAUGGCAUUGUAUUGAAAGUUACGGCGGCGACGGAUUGGCUCGCGUCCGAUUAGCUUGUUGGCGGGGUGACGGCCCACCAAGGCUACGAUCGGUAGGGGUUCUGAGAGGAAGGCCCCCCACAAUGGGACUGAGACACGGCCCAUACUCCUACGGGAGGCAGCAGUGAGGAAUAUUGGUCAAUAGGCGGAAGCCUGAACCAGCCAUGCCGCGUGCGGGAAGGAGGCCCUAUGGGCUGUGAACCGCUUUUGCCUGGGGGCAAUAAGGGCGUCGCGCACGUCCGAUGAGAGUACCAGGCGAAUAAGCAUCGGCUACACCGUGCCAGCAGCCGCGGUAAUACGGGGGAUGCGAGCGUUAUCCGGAUUCAUUGGGUUUAAAGGGUGCGUAGGCUGUGCGUCAAGUCGGGGGUGAAAUUCCGGUGCUCAACACCGGGGCUGCCCUUGAUACUGUCGCGCUGGAGUGCGGAUGCCGCCGGAGGAAUGAGUGGUGUAGCGGUGAAAUGCUUAGAUAUCACUCAGAACACCGAUUGCGAAGGCAUCUGGCGAAUCCGUAACUGACGCUGAGGCACGAAAGCGUGGGGAUAGAACAGGAUUAGAUACCCUGGUAUUCCACGCCGUAAACGAUGAUGGCUAACCGCCGGCGACACACUGUCGGUGGCCAAGCGAAAGCGAUAAGCCAUCCACCUGGGGAGUACGUCGGCAACGAUGCAACUCAAAUGAAUUGACGG